rnacentral:tRNA from 1 species
GCCCAGAUAGUUCAGUGGUAGAACGCUUUCUUGGUAAGAAAGAGGUCGGGAGUUCAAUUCUCCCUCUGGGCU